rnacentral:rRNA from 1 species
AGGACGAACGCUGGCGGCGUGCCUAAUACAUGCAAGUCGAACGGUCUUUCUAUGGAAGCUUGCUUCCACUGAGAAGAUAGUGGCGAACGGGUGAGUAACACGUGGGUAACCUGCCCAUAAGAGGGGGAUAACAUCCGGAAACGGGUGCUAAUACCGCAUAGUUUUCUUGAUCGCAUGAUUGAGAAAGGAAAGACGGCCUUUGUGCUGUCGCUUAUGGAUGGACCCGCGGCGUAUUAGUUAGUUGGUGAGGUAACGGCUCACCAAGACGAUGAUACGUAGCCGACCUGAGAGGGUGAUCGGCCACAUUGGAACUGAGACACGGCCCAAACUCCUACGGGAGGCAGCAGUAGGGAAUCUUCCGCAAUGGACGAAAGUCUGACGGAGCAACGCCGCGUGAGUGAAGAAAAGGUUUUCGGAUCGUAAAACUCUGUUGUCAGAGAAGAACAAGUUGGAGAGUAACUGCUCCAGCCUUGACGGUAUCUGACCAGAAAGCCACGGCUAACUACGUGCCAGCCGCCGC